rnacentral:rRNA from 1 species
GUGAGGAAUAUUGGUCAAUGGGCGAGAGCCUGAACCAGCCAAGCCGCGUGAAGGACUAAGGCCCUAUGGGUCGUAAACUUCUUUUGUCGGGGAACAAAGAUGCGGACGAGUCCGCAGUUGCGUGUACCCGAAGAAAAAGCAUCGGCUAACUCCGUGCCAGCAGCCGCGGUAAUACGGAGGAUGCGAGCGUUAUCCGGAUUUAUUGGGUUUAAAGGGUGCGUAGGUGGCUUGGUAAGUCAGCGGUAAAAUUUCGGGGCUUAACCUCGUUUAGCCGUUGAAACUGUCGAGCUCGAGAGGGAGAGAAGUAGGCGGAAUGCGCAGUGUAGCGGUGAAAUGCAUAGAUAUUGCGCAGAACUCCGAUUGCGAAGGCAGCCUACCGGCUUCUAUCUGACACUGAGGCACGAAAGCGUGGGGAUCAAACAGGAUUAGAAACCCUAGUAGUCC